rnacentral:lncRNA from 1 species
GCUGACUCUCUUUUCGGACUCAGCCCGCAGGCACCCAGGUGAUUAAAAGCUGUAUUGCUCACACAAAGCCUGUUUGGUGGUCUCUUCACACGGACGCGCAUGAAAUUUGGUGCCGUGACUCAGAUCGGGGGACCUCCCUUGGGAGAUCAAUCCCCUGUCCUCCUGUUCUUUGCUCCGUGAAAAAGAUCCACCUACGACCUCAGGUCCUCAGACCCACCAGCCCAAGGAACAUCUCACCAAUUUUAAAUCGAGACCCCACUGGAAAUCGGACUGUCCAACUCACCUGGCAGCCACUCCCAGAGCCCCUGGAACUCUGGCCCAAGGCUCUCUGACUGCUUCCCAGAUCUUCUUGGCUUAGCGGCUGAAGACUGACACUGCCUGAUCACCUCGGAAGCCCCCUAGACCAUCACGGACUCCGAGCUUCGGGUAACCUUCACAGUGGAAGGCAGGAAUGUCAGGCCUCUGAGCCCAAGCCAAGCCAUCGCAUCCCCUGUGACUUGCACAUAUUCGCCCAGAUGGCCUGAAGUAACUGAAGAAUCACAAAAGAAGUGAAUAUGCCCUGCCCCGCCUUAACUGAUGACAUUCCACCACAAAAGAAGUGAAAAUGGCCUGUUCCUGCCUUAACUGAUGACAUUGUCUUGUGAAAUUCCUUUUCCUGGCUCAUCCUGGCUCAAAAACCUCCCCCACUGAGCACCUUGCAACCCCCACUCCUGCCCGCCAGAGAACAAACCCCCUUUGACUGUCAUUUUCCUUUACCUACCCAAAUCUUAUAAAACGGCCCCACCCCUAUCUCCCUUUGCUGACUCUCUUUUCAGACUUAGCCCGCCUGCACCCAGGUGAUUAAAAGCUGUAUUGCUCACACAAA